GCUGGCGGCAGGCUUAACACAUGCAAGUCGAGCGGGCGUAGCAAUACGUCAGCUGCAGACGGGUGAGUAACGCGUGGGAACAUACCUUUUGGUUCGGAACAACACAGGGAAACUUGUGCUAAUACCGGAUAAGCCCUUACGGGGAAAGAUUUAUCGCCGAAAGAUUGGCCCGCGUCUGAUUAGCUAGUUGGUGAGGUAAUGGCUCACCAAGGCGACGAUCAGUAGCUGGUCUGAGAGGAUGAUCAGCCACAUUGGGACUGAGACACGGCCCAAACUCCUACGGGAGGCAGCAGUGGGGAAUAUUGGACAAUGGGCGCAACCCUGAUCCAGCCAUGCCGCGUGAGUGAAGAAGGCCUUCGGGUUGUAAAGCUCUUUCGGACGGGACGAAAUGGUUACGGUGAAUAGCUGUGACUGAUGACGGUACCGUAAUAAGAAGCACCGGCUAACUACGUGCCAGCAGCCGCGGUUAUACGUAGGGUGCGAGCGUUAAUCGGAAUUACUGGGCGUAAAGCGUGCGCAGGCGGUUCGCCAAGUCAGGUGUGAAAUCCCCGGGCUUAACCUGGGAAUUGCGCUUGAAACUAGCGGGCUUGAGUGUGGCAGAGGGGGGUGGAAUUCCACGUGUAGCAGUGAAAUGCGUAGAGAUGUGGAGGAACACCGAUGGCGAAGGCAGCCCCCUGGGUCAACACUGACGCUCAUGCACGAAAGCG
rnacentral:rRNA from 1 species